UACGGGGGGGAGCAAGCGUUGUUCGGAUUUACUGGGCGUAAAGGGCGCGUAGGCGGCGUGACAAGUCACUUGUGAAAUCUCCGGGCUUAACUCGGAACGGUCAAGUGAUACUGUCGUGCUAGAGUACAGAAGGGGCAACUGGAAUUCUCGGUGUAGCGGUGAAAUGCGUAGAUAUCUGGAGGAAUACCGGUGGCGAAGGCGGCAUCCUGGACCAUUACUGACGCUGAGGCGCGAAAGCUAGGGGAGCAAACGGGG
rnacentral:rRNA from 1 species